GUCCAUUGAAUCUUAUCAUUUAGAGGAAGGAGAAGUCGUAACAAGGUUUCCGUAGGUGAACCUGNGGAAGGAUCAUUG
rnacentral:rRNA from 1 species